AGCAGCAUGGCGCAGAGGUAGCGCGCAGGGCCCAUAGAUGCUGGGAUUGCAGUAAACUGCGGAUUACCGCUGCGCUAAGGCCACCCUGAGGUCACUCGAUCGAAACGAGUUGCUGCUA